rnacentral:sRNA from 1 species
CAAGACCCUGCCUCCAAAAAGAAAAGAAAAGAAAAUAAAUUCUGAAUUUAUUCUUGGACAGCUUUUAGCAGCUACAUGCAAAGAACUUCCAGGCCCUAAAGAAAGUAGACGGACUGCCAAAGACCUUUGGGAAGUUGUUGUUCAAAUCUGUAGUGUGUCCAGUCAGCACAAACGAGGAAAUGAUGGCAGAGUUAGUUUAAUAAAACAGAGGGAAUCUACGUUAGGUAUCAUGUAUCGGAGUGAACUGCUUUCUUUUAUCAAAAAAUUACGAGAACCACUCGUUUUGACUAUUAUUUUAUCACUCUUUGUGAAACUUCACAAUGUUCGGGUAAGUAUUUCAUAAUUUCAUUUAGAAAAAUUUAAAAGAAAUUUCUUUGUAAAUCACACCUUUUUUUUUCUUUUUAAAGGAGGACAUUGUGAAUGAUAUUACAGCUGAACACAUUUCUAUUUGGCCAUCUUCCAUUCCCAACCUC